UAUAGAUGGAUCCGCGCUGCAUUAGCUAGUUGGUAAGGUAACGGCUUACCAAGGCAACGAUGCAUAGCCGACCUGAGAGGGUGAUCGGCCACACUGGAACUGAGACACGGUCCAGACUCCUACGGGAGGCAGCAGUAGGGAAUCUUCCGCAAUGGGCGAAAGCCUGACGGAGCAACGCCGCGUGAGUGAUGAAGGUCUUCGGAUCGUAAAACUCUGUUAUUAGGGAAGAACAUAUGUGUAAGUAACUGUGCACAUCUUGACGGUACCUAAUCAGAAAGCCACGGCUAACUACGUGCCAGCAGCCGCGGUAAUACGUAGGUGGCAAGCGUUAUCCGGAAUUAUUGGGCGUAAAGCGCGCGUAGGCGGUUUUUUAAGUCUGAUGUGAAAGC
rnacentral:rRNA from 1 species